rnacentral:rRNA from 1 species
AUUGAACGCUGGCGGCAGGCCUAACACAUGCAAGUCGAGCGGAUGAAGGGAGCUUGCUCCUGGAUUCAGCGGCGGACGGGUGAGUAAUGCCUAGGAAUCUGCCUGGUAGUGGGGGAUAACGUCCGGAAACGGGCGCUAAUACCGCAUACGUCCUGAGGGAGAAAGUGGGGGAUCUUCGGACCUCACGCUAUCAGAUGAGCCUAGGUCGGAUUAGCUAGUUGGUGGGGUAAAGGCCUACCAAGGCGACGAUCCGUAACUGGUCUGAGGGGAUGAUCAGUCACACUGGAACUGAGACACGGUCCAGGCUCCUACGGGAGGCAGCAGUGGGGAAUAUUGGACAAUGGGCGAAAGCCUGAUCCAGCCAUGCCGCGUGUGUGAAGAAGGUCUUCGGAUUGUAAAGCACUUUAAGUUGGGAGGAAGGGCAGUAAGUUAAUACCUUGCUGUUUUGACGUUACCAACAGAAUAAGCACCGGCUAACUUCGUG